UACAGGGGGGGCAAGCGUUGUUCGGAAUUACUGGGCGUAAAGGGCUCGUAGGCGGCCAACUAAGUCACACGUGAAAUCCCCAGGCUUAACCUGGGAACUGCGUGUGAUACUGGAUGGCUUGAAUUCGGGAGAGGGAUGCAGAAUUCCAGGUGUAGCGGUGAAAUGCGUAGAUAUCUGGAGGAAUACCGGUGGCGAAGGCGGCAUCCUGGACCGACAUUGACGCUGAGUGAGCGAAAGCCAGGGGAGCAAACGGG
rnacentral:rRNA from 1 species